rnacentral:rRNA from 1 species
ACGCGAGAAACCUUACCUGGGCUUGACAUGUACCGGAUUGGGCUAGAGAUAGUCUUUCCCUUGUGGUCGGUAUACAGGUGGUGCAUGGUUGUCGUCAGCUCGUGUCGUGAGAUGUUGGGUUAAGUCCCGCAACGAGCGCAACCCUUGUCUUAUGUUGCCAGCACGUUAUGGUGGGAACUCAUGAGAGACUGCCGGGGUUAACUCGGAGGAAGGUGGGGAUGACGUCAAAUCAUCAUGCCCCUUAUGUCCA